AUUGAACGCUGGCGGCAGGCCUAACACAUGCAAGUCGAGCGGAUGAAGGGAGCUUGCUCCUGGAUUCAGCGGCGGACGGGUGAGUAAUGCCUAGGAAUCUGCCUGGUAGUGGGGGAUAACGUCCGGAAACGGGCGCUAAUACCGCAUACGUCCUGAGGGAGAAAGUGGGGGAUCUUCGGACCUCACGCUAUCAGAUGAGCCUAGGUCGGAUUAGCUAGUUGGUGGGUUAAAGGCCUACCAAGGCGACGAUCCGUAACUGGUCUGAGAGGAUGAUCAGUCACACUGGAACUGAGACACGGUCCAGACUCCUACGGGAGGCAGCAGUGGGGAAUAUUGGACAAUGGGCGAAAGCCUGAUCCAGCCAUGCCGCGUGUGUGAAGAAGGUCUUCGGAUUGUAAAGCACUUUAAGUUGGGAGGAAGGGCAGUAAGUUAAUACCUUGCUGUUUUGACGUUACCAACAGAAUAAGCACCGGCUAACUUCGUG
rnacentral:rRNA from 1 species